AUAAACUGUAAACAGCAAAAAUGAUCAGCAAAGUAAGAUCUACAAAUAAGUUAAUAUGACCAAAAUUGUCAAUUGACCCCUUAAGGGGUAAUUGUCCUUUAAUGACAAUUUUUCACAAUUUGUUCAUCAUAUUUGCUAACUUUAAAAAAUCUUCUCCUCUAAAAUUACUCAACCAAAUUCAACCAAACUUCAACUGAAUGAUCAGUAGGGUGUAUAAAAUAAAGUUUGUGUUUUAUUUUCUAUUUCGUCAAAAAAUAUGGCUGUCAUGGCUAAAAAUAGAACACAGGGUAAAAUGCAGUUUUUGGCUUAUAUCUCAAAAACUCCAGCAUUUAGAGCAGAUAAGACAAGGAGUUAAAGUAUUUAUUAGGUCAAGGUCUACCUGUCCUGAAAUUUUCAGCCGAAUUGGGUAACUGGUUUUUCAGGUAUAAUGCCCC
rnacentral:lncRNA from 1 species